CGAUUAGUCGGAUUAGAACGUUGGUGGAUCGUAAUUGACCCGUGUACUAAUCAGGACCAAUCAUACCUUUGACACUCGGUAAACUUAUAAAAAAGUUAAUUUUCUUGUACAUGGUUCAACAUUGACUUUAAUUCGGCCAUAAAAAAAGUUGUGGUUGUCCCGUGAGCAUAGCUCAGUUGGUAGGACAAUGCAUUAUUAUAUGCAGGGGCCGGGGUUCGAACCCCAGACA
rnacentral:lncRNA from 1 species